rnacentral:rRNA from 1 species
UAAACGUCUCAGUUCGGAUGUAGUCUGCAACUCGACUACAUGAAGCUGGAAUCGCUAGUAAUCGCAGAUCAGAAUGCUGCGGUGGAUACGUUCCCGGGUCUUGUACACACCGCCCGUCACACCAUGGGAGCCGGGAAUGCCCGAAGUCGGUGACCCAACCGUAAGGAGGGAGCCGCCGAAGGCAGGCCUGGUAACUGGGGUGAAGUCGUAACAAGGUAUC